AUCUCUUGUUGGGCAUCCCUGUGUACCUGAGGUCUUCUAAGGCAAUUUUGUGGGCUCUGUACAAGAUGCAGAACUCUGACACCUCUUCCAGCCCUGGCUGUGUUGAGCCAAACACCACACAGCUCAGACAUGAUGCUGCAACAACUCAGAUCGCAGUGGAGGAGGACCGUAAGAGGAACUAGGUUGGUGAUUUCCAUCCCCUCCUCUGGAAGCUUCAGCUUAGUUCUAACCAAUGAAUGUAGAACCUGAACUUCUACAGACAUUACAUACUGUUUCCAGCAAUGAUUCCUGCUAAAGAUCAAGAACGCACAUUUUCAAAAUAACAGCAUCAGCAGCAUCUUGCCAAUGUCCCACUGGCAAGCCAAGGAGGACAUUUGGUGAAAGUCUCAGAGCGUUUUUGCGAGAUUCGCGGCAAGCAGUCCUGAGUUUGACCUCUGCAUGCUAUUGAAAAGCACCAUGUAUCAAUGUAGAUCUAGGUUGAGGUAGUGAAAGAGAUCAUGUACUAACUCAAGGACAGUCAAUUUAGAUUACAGUAUAGAAUCCAGAAAGUCUGCUUCAAUAGGAGAUAUGGGAAUAUUAGAAAUUGCUCAUAAAGUCUAUCCUCAAAUAUCUGCCUGAAGGACCAGGAAAUGUGUACCUAAAAGCUUAGUUGAAAUUCAGGAAAAAAAAAAAAAGGGGAAAAUAAAAUCUGGAAAAAAGAAAUCCUUACUUGAAAGAGGCAUUGUGAAGGCAGUCAACAUUUUGUGAUAGGUUCAAAGAAGGCAUUGAUUUUAGUCUCUGGAGAGAAACUUCCACCAAACCCUAUUUCUAAAAGCUGUUAUUUCAAAACCUCUAGCAAACACCUUGUUUUUUUAAAUCAUCGAGAGAAGCCAAUGCAUGCUAAAUAAUUAGAAAUCUUGAGAAUUUUCCAGAAGUGUGUAGAUUUGAUUUGAAAUGUCUACAAACCCAGUGGUUAGAUUUUGAAUUUAAGAACAAGACAGUUCUUGAUGUUUAUGACAAUUUGCAAAUAUGUCUUUCCGUAAACAUAUGCAGUCUGUCACAUAGCUGUUUCUAAAUUUACAUGCUCAGAGUUAAUUAUCUUAAGAAGGGUCUUGAUUUUUAAAAUUGCUAAAUGUCUGCGGGUCCCAGCUGCUUCAGUGUAAGUGAUUCUGAUUGCCCUUUAGAUAUUUACAGAUAUUUUCAAAUAUUUACAGAUGUUUACAGAUAUUUACUCUAUGCUUUUAAUACAGCUGUAGUCAGAUGAAGAGUAGCUUCAAGAAUUAAUGAAGCUGGACAUUCUUUUAGAAAAAUACUUAACUCUUCACUGUAUCUGACUGUCAUGUAUCUGCAGAUCCCUGUACCGUAUCAUUAAGACUGUCUUCCUUUAAUAUAUUUCUUUUUGACCAAUUUAUUUGUCAUCACAUAACAGUGCUUCUCUGAAUAUCAUCAGCACAAAGUCCAUUAGGAAACAUAAGAAAGAACUGUGUUUCAAUAAAAAAAAUGAGUGUUAUUUAUGCAUACCAAAGAAAUAUUUUUCCACUGGGCUUCUGCAUCAGCCCAAUUUGCCAAUAUGAUAAAAGCAAAGUUUUAAUUGUCAUUAAACUAAGUAUACAAGUCCAAAAUAAAUUUCUGUACAGUACCUU
ensembl:lncRNA